ACAGGGGUAGGAGUGAAAUCUUAUAAUCCUUGUAGGACCACCAGUGGCGAAGGCGUCAGACUGGAACGCGCCUGACGGUGAGGGACGAAAGCCAGGGGAGCGAACCGGAUUAGAUACCCGGGUAGUCCUGGCCGUAAACGAUGCACACUAGAUGAUGGUGCGGCCAUGAGCCGUAUCAGUGUCGUAGGGAAACCGUUAAGUGUGCCGCCUGGGAAGUACGGUCGCAAGGCUUAAACUUAAAGGAAUUGGCGGGGGAGCACCACAAGGGGUGAAGCCUGCGGUUCAAUUGGACUCAACGCCGGGCAACUUACCAGGGGAGACAGCAGAAUGAAGGUCAGGUUGACGACCUUACCUAACAAGCUGAGAGGAGGUGCAUGGCCGUCGCCAGUUCGUGCUGUGAGGUAUCCUGUUAAGUCAGGCAACGAACGAGACCCGUGCCUUUAUUUGCCAUCAAGAAGUCACGACUUCGUUGGGAACGAUAAAGGGACUGCCGUCGAUAAGACGGAGGAAGGAGCGGGCAAAGGCAGGUCAGUAUGCCCCGAAACCCCUGGGCUACACGCGGGCUGCAAUGGUGCGAACAAUGGGCUGUGACUCCGACAGGAGAAACCAAUCCCGAAAUCGCAUCUCAGUUGGGAUUGUCAACUGUAACCCGUUGACAUGAACGUGGAAUCCCUAGUAAUCGCGUGUCAUCAUCGCGCGGUGAUACGUCUCUGCUCCUUGCACUCACCGCCCG
rnacentral:rRNA from 1 species